GGAGGGUGCAAGCGUUAUCCGGAUUCACUGGGUUUAAAGGGUGCGUAGGUGGAUUAGUAAGUCAGUGGUGAAAUCUCUGGGCUUGACUCAGAAACUGCCAUUGAUACUAUUAAUCUUGAAUACCGUGGAGGUCAGCGGAAUAUGUCAUGUAGCGGUGAAAUGCUUAGAUAUGACAUAGAACACCAAUUGCGAAGGCAGCUGGCUACACGAAUAUUGACACUGAGGCACGAAAGCGUGGGGAUCAAACAGGAUUAGAUACCCUGGUAGUCCACGCCCUAAACGAUGGAUACUCGACAUUUGCGAUAAACUGCAAGUGUCUGAGCGAAAGCAUUAAGUAUCCCACCUGGGAAGUACGAUCGCAAGAUUG
rnacentral:rRNA from 1 species